CUGGCUCAGGACGAACGCUGGCGGCGUGCCUAAUACAUGCAAGUCGAGCGGACAGAUGGGAGCUUGCUCCCUGAUGUYAGCGGCGGACGGGUGAGUAACACGUGGGUAACCUGCCUGUAAGACUGGGAUAACUCCGGGAAACCGGGGCUAAUACCGGAUGCUUGAUUGAACCGCAUGGUUCAAUUAUAAAAGGUGGCUUUUAGCUACCACUUACAGAUGGACCCGCGGCGCAUUAGCUAGUUGGUGAGGUAACGGCUCACCAAGGCAACGAUGCGUAGCCGACCUGAGAGGGUGAUCGGCCACACUGGGAUCUGAGACACGGCCCAGACUCCUACGGGAGGCAGCAGUAGGGAAUCUUCCGCAAUGGACGAAAGUCUGACGGAGCAACGCCGCGUGAGUGAUGAAGGUUUUCGGAUCGUAAAACUACUGUUGUUAGGGAAGAACAAGUACCGUUCGAAUAGGGCGGUACCUUGACGGUACCUAACCAGAAAGCCACGGUCUAAC
rnacentral:rRNA from 1 species